rnacentral:lncRNA from 1 species
AACAGAGUCCGAUCAGUUGGCCAAUAUAACAUGUUUCUUUUUCUAAUUUCAUCUAGAGAAGUAAUAGUGAAGACACUGCCUAUACCUUCCGAAUGAGUGAGAGCCUGAGUAGCAGAGAGACCAGCUUUCUCAUCAAUGAAGAACCGACGACUCUCUCAGAGUGAAGCUUCAAGGUCUGAAGUGCAGAAACAACAGGGUAGAAGAGACAAGAGGUCACAGCCUCACAAACUUAGGUGCCCUGUACAUCCUGUUGGGUGCAGCCAUGCUCAUCUUACUCACCACUGUGUCUCCAAUGUCUUAUGGUAUGUGUGGACCAAGGCAGGUGCCUAGUGCAUGCUAGUUGUGAAGGGGAAGGGGAAGGGAAGGGA